AUUGAACGCUGGCGGCAUGCUUUACACAUGCAAGUCGAACGGCAGCGCGGGCUUCGGCCUGGCGGCGAGUGGCGAACGGGUGAGUAAUGCAUCGGAACGUGCCCAGUAGUGGGGGAUAGCCCGGCGAAAGCCGGAUUAAUACCGCAUACGACCUGAGGGUGAAAGCGGGGGACCGAAAGGCCUCGCGCUAUUGGAGCGGCCGAUGUCGGAUUAGCUAGUUGGUGGGGUAAAGGCUUACCAAGGCGACGAUCCGUAGCUGGUCUGAGAGGACGACCAGCCAAACUGGGACUGAGACACGGCCCAGACUCCUACGGGAGGCAGCAGUGGGGAAUUUUGGACAAAGGGGGCAACCCUGAUCCAGCCAUGCCGCGUGCGGGAAGAAGGCCUUCGGGUUGUAAACCGCUUUUGUUCGGGAAGAAAUCCUCUGGGCUAAUACCCCGGGGGGAUGACGGUACCGGAAGAAUAAGCACCGGCUAACUACGUG
rnacentral:rRNA from 1 species